rnacentral:rRNA from 1 species
CCACCACUAAGCCAGUGGUGAACUCCACAUACGCAUCCUUUGCUGAGGAUACGGUUAACGGAGCGAAAGCGACGUUCAACCUCAAAAGAAGCAGAGGGGGCUUAGUGGUGGGGUGACUGCGUACCUUUUGUAUAAUGGGUCAGCGACUUAUAUUCUGUAGCAAGGUUAACCGAAUAGGGGAGCCGGAGGGAAACCGAGUCUUAAUUGGGCGUUAAGUUGCAGGGUAUAGACCCGAAACCCGGUGAUCUAGCCAUGGGCAGGUUGAAGGUUGGGUAACACUAACUGGAGGACCGAACCGACUAAUGUUGAAAAAUUAGCGGAUGACCUGUGGCUGGGGGUGAAAGGCCAAUCAAACCGGGAGAUAGCUGGUUCUCCCCGAAAGCUAUUUAGGUAGCGCCUCGUGAAUUCAUCUCCGGGGGUAGAGCACUGUUUCGGCUAGGGGGUCAUCCCGACUUACCAACCCGAUGCAAACUGCGAAUACCGGAGAAUGUUAUCACGGGAGACACACGGCGGGUGCUAACGUCCGUCGUGAAGAGGGAAACAACCCAGACCGCCAGCUAAGGUCCCAAAGUCAUGGUUAAGUGGGAAACGAUGUGGGAAGGCCCAGACAGCCAGGAUGUUGGCUUAGAAGCAGCCAUCAUUUAAAGAAAGCGUAAUAGCUCACUGGUCGAGUCGGCCUGCGCGGAAGAUGUAACGGGGCUAAACCAUGCACCGAAGCUGCGGCAGCGACACUGUGUGUUGUUGGGUAGGGGAGCGUUCUGUAAGCCGUUGAAGGUGUGUCGUGAGGCAUGCUGGAGGUAUCAGAAGUGCGAAUGCUGACAUAAGUAACGAUAAUGCGGGUGAAAAACCCGCACGCCGGAAGACCAAGGGUUCCUGUCCAACGUUAAUCGGGGCAGGGUGAGUCGACCCCUAAGGCGAGGCCGAAAGGCGUAGUCGAUGGGAAACGGGUUAAUAUUCCCGUACUUGGUGUUACUGCGAAGGGGGGACGGAGAAGGCUAUGUUGGCCGGGCGACGGUUGUCCCGGUUUAAGCGUGUAGGUGUGUGUUCCAGGUAAAUCCGGUUCACUUUAACACUGAGGCGUGAUGACGAGGCACUACGGUACUGAAGCAACAAAUGCCCUGCUUCCAGGAAAAGCCUCUAAGCAUCAGGUAACAUCAAAUCGUACCCCAAACCGACACAGGUGGUCAGGUAGAGAAUACCAAGGCGCUUGAGAGAACUCGGGUGAAGGAACUAGGCAAAAUGGUGCCGUAACUUCGGGAGAAGGCACGCUGACAUGUAGGUGAAGUGAUUUACU